CUCCCGAUCCCAUCUCAACCUGGAGCCCGCCGCCGCCUCCUCUCACGUCCCGCCCCGCCUCACCGUGCGCCGCCGCCGUCGCCUACCUCGCCGGUGCGCCUACCCCUACCCCAGGUGCCCCCACACCCGCGGCCUUCCCCUGUCGGUGACCCGCGGCCUUCCGCCGCCAGCGACGCUCGACGCCGCGGCCGUUGGUGGAUCCGCUGGGUCUCCUCCAUGCUGCUUCCACCUCGACAAUGGUUUCUCCAACCACGCCGGCUUCGCCACUAGCCACUCCUUCCCCCACCAACAUGCCGCCCUCCAAGUGGACCCCCUUCUCCGGUAAGAUCCCCUCCCAGAGCAGGACGGCGAGUACGACCCAGCCCCACCCGCGCACGCCGCCGCCCCAUCCGUCGUGGCGCCACCUUCCCCCUUCUCUUGUAGAGCAGGCGACAAGUCCAUCCGUCAUGGUACUGCCUCACCCAUCCCCUGUAGAGCAGGCAACAGCAGAGCUCCUAGGCAAAUAGUUCAUGAAUUCUUUUGUGUGAGAUCAAUUUUAUUGAUUGUUUCAAAUGUAGCAGAAAGAGACCAUUACAUGGAUAUGAAUGGAGGUAAUUUUAUAAUGCAAGAUUAGAGAUGGAAUUUACUUUGCAUAGUCUGUCACAAGAUAAAGGAGGCAGUGGAUGGGAGUGAUACAACCGGAGCUGUUGCAGUACUGGCAGGUUACAGAAAGCAUGUACUUGCGAACAGGGAGACAACGAAUGGACGCUUCAGUGGUAGCCGGCCGGUGGCCACGCAUUGGCAGCCACCGCUUAGAUACAUAACUCCAGCCAGCUAUGGUUGAGAAUGGCAAGAAGAUGCUUAUUCUCCACAGUACAAAGUGCUAUUGGUGCAGUUUUGAACUCCGUGCUGACAGAUCAUUUUCACCUGAUGCGCGAUCGUUAUGGAAGUGCGCCAACAAUAACAAUAUAAUCAAGCCAUUUGAGUGUAGUGGUGGAACUCCCUAGAGGUAUUCUCCCUUAAAUCUUAUUGUAGCCUUUAUUCACAUAUCCUAUUGUGUAGUUUGUGACAAUAAGGAAUUGUUAUUCACUUGAA